rnacentral:rRNA from 1 species
CGAGCGGAGUAUUUCCUUCGGGGAAUGCUUAGCGGCGGACGGGUGAGUAACACGUAGGUAACCUGCCUAUAAGACUGGGAUAACUAUCGGAAACGAUAGCUAAGACCGGAUAACUGGUUUUCUCGCAUGAGAGAAUUAUGAAACACGGAGCAAUCUGUGACUUAUAGAUGGGCCUGCGGCGCAUUAGCUAGUUGGUAGGGUAAUGGCCUACCAAGGCGACGAUGCGUAGCCGACCUGAGAGGGUGAACGGCCACACUGGGACUGAGACACGGCCCAGACUCCUACGGGAGGCAGCAGUAGGGAAUCUUCCGCAAUGGACGCAAGUCUGACGGAGCAACGCCGCGUGAGUGAUGAAGGUUUUCGGAUCGUAAAGCUCUGUUGCCCUAGACGAACAGCAAGGCGAGUAACUGCGCUUUGUGUGACGGUAUAGGAGAAGAAAGCCCCGGCUAACUACGUGCCAGCAGCCGCGGUAAUACGUAGGGGGCAAGCGUUGUCCGGAAUUAUUGGGCGUAAAGCGCGCGCAGGCGGUUCGUUAAGUUGGGUGUUUAAGCCCGGGGCUCAACCCCGGUUCGCAUCCAAAACUGGCGAACUUGAGUGUAGGAGAGGAAAGUGGAAUUCCACGUGUAGCGGUGAAAUGCGUAGAGAUGUGGAGGAACACCAGUGGCGAAGGCGACUUUCUGGCCUAUAACUGACGCUGAGGCGCGAAAGCGUGGGGAGCAAACAGGAUUAGAUACCCUGGUAGUCCACGCCGUAAACGAUGCAUACUAGGUGUCGGGGAUUCGAUUUCUCGGUGCCGAAGUUAACACAGUAAGUAUGCCGCCUGGGGAGUACGCUCGCA